ACUCCUACGGGAGGCAGCAGUGGGGAAUAUUGCACAAUGGGCGCAAGCCUGAUGCAGCCAUGCCGCGUGUGUGAAGAAGGCCUUCGGGUUGUAAAGCACUUUCAGUCGUGAGGAAGGUAGUGUAGUUAAUAGCUGCAUUAUUUGUACGUUAGCGACAGAAGAAGCACCGGCUAACUCCGUGCCAGCAGCCGCGGUAAUACGGAGGGUGCGAGCGUUAAUCGGAAUUACUGGGCGUAAAGCGCAUGCAGGUGGUUUGUUAAGUUCAGAUGUGAAAGCCCGGGGCUCAACCUCGGAAUAGCAUUUGAAACUGGCAGACUAGAGUACUGUAGAGGGGGUUAGAAUUUCAGGUGUAGCGGUGAAAUGCGUAGAGAUCUGAAGGAAUACCGGUGGCGAAGCGGCCCCUGGACAGAUACUGACACUCAGAUGCGAAAGCGUGGGAGCAAACAGGAUUAGAUACCCCUGGUAGACUGUCA
rnacentral:rRNA from 1 species